UACGUAGGGUGCAAGCGUUGUCCGGAAUUAUUGGGCGUAAAGAGCUCGUAGGCGUUAGUCGCGUCUGCUGUGAAAACUCGGGGCUUAACUCCGGGCCUGCAGUGGGUACGGGCUGACUAGAGUGCGGUAGGGGAGACUGGAAUUCCUGGUGUAGCGGUGAAAUGCGCAGAUAUCAGGAGGAACACCGGUGGCGAAGGCGGGUCUCUGGGCCGAUACUGACGCUGAGGAGCGAAAGCGUGGGGAGCGAACAGG
rnacentral:rRNA from 1 species